rnacentral:rRNA from 1 species
CGAAAGUUAGAGGCUCGAAGGCGAUCAGAUACCGCCCUAGUUCUAACCAUAAACGAUGCCAGCCAGCGAUCCGGCUGUGUUCCUCAAAUGACACGCCGGGCAGCUUCCGGGAAACCAAAGCUUUUGGGUUCCGGGGGAAGUAUGGUUGCAAAGCUGAAACUUAAAGGAAUUGACGGAAGGCCACACAAGGUGUGGAGCCUGCGGCUUAAUUUGACUCAACACGCGAAAACUCACCUGGCCCGGACACAGGAAGGAUUGACAGAUUGAGAGCUCUUUCUUGAUUCUGUGGGUGGUGGUGCAUGGCCGCUCUUAGUUGGUGGAGCGAUUUGUCUGGUUAAUUCCGUUAACGAACGAGACUCUAGCCUGCUAAAUAGACGUUCCGAUCCUCCGAGUCGGACGUUCUUCUUAGAGGGACGGGCGGCGUUUAGCCGCACGAAACAGAGCAAUAGCAGGUCUGUGAUGCCCUUUGAUGUCCGGGGCCGCACGCGCGCUACAUUGAAGGAACCAGCGUGUGCUUUCCCUGUCCGACAGGACUGGGUAACCCGUUGAACCUCCUUCGUGCUGGGGAUAGCAAAUUGUAAUUGUUUUGCUUGAACGAGGAACACCUAGUAAGCGUGAGUCAUCAGCUCAUGUUGAUUAUGUCCCUGGCCUUUGUUCACACCGCCCGUCGCUACUACCGAUUGAAUGAUUUAGUGAGGUCUUCGGACUGGCGCUCGGAUUGGCUUUCGGGUCGAGCCGACGUGCCGGAAAGAUGACCAAACUUGAUCAUUUAGAGGAAGUAAAAGUCGUAACAAGG